rnacentral:rRNA from 1 species
CAGCCGUAAACUAUGCGCGUUAGGUGUAUCGGUGACCACGAGUUACCGAGGUGUCGAAGGGAAACCGUGAAACGUGCCGCCUGGGAAGUACGGUCGCAAGGCUGAAACUUAAAGGAAUUGGCGGGGGAGCACCACAACAGGUGGAGCCUGCGGUUUAAUUGGACUCAACGCCGGGAAGCUCACCGGAUAGGACAGCAGAAUGAUUGCCGGGCUGAAGACCCUGCAUGACUAGCUGAGAGGAGGUGCAUGGCGUCAGUGACU